UACGGAGGGUGCAAGCGUUAAUCGGAAUUACUGGGCGUAAAGCGCGCGUAGGCGGCUGGAUAAGUCGAUUGUGAAAGCCUUGGGCUCAACCUGAGAAUUGCAGUCGAGACUGUUCGGCUAGAGUGUGGGAGAGGGUGGUGGAAUUCCCGGUGUAGCGGUGAAAUGCGUAGAUAUCGGGAGGAACAUCAAAUGAGAAGGCGACCACCGGGAUCUACACUGACGCUGAGGUGCGAAAGCGUGGGUAGCAAACAGG
rnacentral:rRNA from 1 species